rnacentral:lncRNA from 10 species
UUUAAAAUGACAUUAAUCACUUUAGAGUAAUAUAGCCAUUAUGAGUAUAUUUGGCUUCAAGUAACAAGAUUCUACUAAAGAGGAAUUUAUAAUUUAUGGGUUUAUUUAAGACCUAUAUGGUAAACAGUAAAAUAUGUCACAUGGAUCUCCAGCUACAGAGAACGUAAUUUCCUCAACUGCUGUAUUUGCCAAGUUUGUUCUAUAGAUAUGCUGCCCAGGAAAAUAAAUGAAAGACAGAUUAUUCCUGGAUUAUAUGAGAUGAGACUCCUCUGAUGAAUUAAUUUGCUCAAAAAUUUUACAUCAGCCCUUCACAAAACACUUUUAGAACUGCAUUGGACUCUACAACUCCCUUUCACCCUACUUUUUAAUUUUUUUUCUCCAUCCUAAAAUACUAGACCUGCAUUGCGAUCUGCUAUCUCUCCCUGCUCUCUCCCCAUUUUCCCUCACAGAUGCUUACUCUAAAAUUUAUCUUUUAUGUUUUGGCAAAUCCCACCCUGGGGCAUCCUUCUCAUUGGACUCAAUAAUGCAGCCUUAUCGCAAUAAUCAUUCAGUGGCAACAGGCAUAUCUAGCAUCCAGACUGUGGUUUCUAAAUGCCAUAUUUCAUUAAAAGAACCAAAAGCUCAAUGGAAAAAAAAAAAUGGCUGAUUUCAGGUAAGCAGCAUUGAAAAUACAAAAAAAAAAAAAAAAAAAAAAUACAAAACAAAAUGAAGCAUCUUGCCAGGAAGCAAGAAUAUAUAUCAAACACUAAAGAGAACAUUUCAAAAAGAAGGAGUUAUGAACUUGGAGAGGCUUUCAUUUACCAAUCUACGAUCUGAGACAAGUUGAUUACAAAAAAAAAUGGCAAUAAUAGAUUGUAAUACAUUGACUAAUAAAAUAGUAGCUUAUGAGCCCAUAGUGAUAAUCAAACACACAAACAAACAUAAAACUGAGGUUAAAAGUUCUGUUUUUACUAAAGAAUGUCAAUUAGUAAAUGAAGCAAAAUUGAUCGCAUUAGAAAAUGACUAUUUUUAGCCAUAAAUAGAAUAAAAGAAUAAUACAGGCUAGUCUUCUUAACGGAUGCUAAAAAUAUUUGGUGAAAAAUAAUUGAGCAGGAAAUCAACUUCUUGAUUAACAGCACAAAGAGCUCUACAGGCCACACCCCAGUAAAACCAGUAGAAAUUCAUUUUUAAAAACCCAAUGAUUUAAAGCCUAUGGGAAUGGUCAUAAAGGCACACAGCAAACAAACAUCUACUCAAGAAAAUACACAAAAAUAUGUAGUAAUAAAAGUGAGAGUGUGUGGUAUUUGAAGGAGGACUGUUCCCUUCUUUCCCCAUCCCAUGUCACUGACAUGGAAACUCCAUUCUAGACUGGUACAAGCAAGAACACAGGGUUUCCUCUUCCUCAAGAUUCCAGUGAGAGGAUUAUCUCCCAGAAGGAGCAUGACCUCAACAUUUCUCAUUCUUCUCCCAACUACCUACUGAUGAAGCUAAGUUCUCGGCAAAUGCAGUUGAAUGAAACAAUGAAGGCCAGAAAGCCUUGGAGUGACACAUUCAAAGGGAAGAAAAAAAGAAAGAGAGAGAGAAAAAAAGAGAGAGAGAAAAGAGAGAAGAAGAAAGAAAGAAAGAAAGAAAAGAAAAGAAAAAGACAAAGAAAGGAAGGAAGAAAGAAAGAAGGAAAGAAAGAGAGAGAAAGGAAGGAAGGAUGGAAGGAAGGAAGGAAAAGAAAGUCUCAUAUCCAACAAAUUUGAUUUUGAAAAGUGAAGGAAAAAGAUACAUGAGACUGCUUGUAUUAUUGUUUCAACUUCUCAGUUGAGGCUGCAGUGAGUCAUGAUUUCACCACUGCACUCCAGCCUGAACAACAGAGUGAGACCUUGUCUGAAGAAACAAAGAUUCACUUAAUGCAAAAGAAAACAGUAAAGAGAAUUAGAAGAACAAAAAAAGACAUUAAACACACAAAAACAAAAGUAAAAUGUAAGACAUAAAUCGAACUAUAUCAAUUAUAGCAUUAAAUAUAGAUGCUUAGACAAUCCAAACAGAAGGCAGAGAUUAUCAGACUGGAUUAAAACAAAUAAUUUAACCACGUUUUCUACAAAAGACACACUUUAAAUUCAAAAAUCCAAAUAAGCUGAAAAGAUGUGGAAAAGGCAUGCCAUUCAAACAGCAGCCACAAGAAAAUAUUGCCUAUACUAAUAGCAGACAAAUGCACUUUAAAAUUUAAAAUUCUAUUAGAGGUAUAUGUUAGACAUAUUAUAAUGAUAAAAGGUGCAUUAGCCAGGAAGAUAAAAACAAUCAUAUACAUGCCUAGUAAGAGAGAAACAAAAUAUAUGAAGCAAAACUUAUACGUAUUAAGAUGAUGGUUAAUGCCUCACAUUUGAUAAUGAACACAACAACUAGGCAAAAGAAAGACGACUAGCAAGAAAACGGAAGGCUAAAACAGCAAUAUAAGCCAACUAGCCCUAAUAGAUAUCUAUAACAUGCUGCACCCAGUCACUACAAAAUAUAAAAAGAUAUAUUUUCUCAAGUGCACAUGGAGCAUCCUUCCAUAUCAACCACAUGCUAGGCUAUGAAACAAACUUUAUUAAAUUUAAAAGGAUGAAAAUAAUAUGAAGUGUAGUCUUUAAAAACAUUGAAGUAAAAUUAGAAAUCAAUAACAGAUAAGAAAUAUUUGGGAAACUCACAAAUGUGUUUUUCAUUAAAUAACACUGCUAAAUAACCAAUGGGUGAAAAAGAAUGCAAAAGGGAAAUCAGAAAACACUUUGAAGAUGAAUGAAAAUGAGGAUACAACCUGCAAAACCUUAACAUUCAAAAAUCAAUUCGUGACCAGGUGCGGUGGCUUAACGCCUGUAAUCCCAGCACUUUGGGAGGCCGAGGCAGGCAGAUCACAAGGUCAGGAGAUCAAGACCAUCCUGGCUAACACAGUGAAACCCUGUUUCUACUAAAAAUACAAAAUAAAUAAAUAAAUAAAUAAAUAAAUAAA